rnacentral:rRNA from 1 species
UGGGGAAUAUUGGACAAUGGGGGCAACCCUGAUCCAGCCAUGCCGCGUGAGUGAUGAAGGCCUUCGGGUUGUAAAGCUCUUUUGGCGGGGACGAUGAUGACGGUACCCGCAGAAUAAGCCCCGGCUAACUUCGUGCCAGCAGCCGCGGUAAGACGAAGGGGGCUAGCGUUGUUCGGAAUUACUGGGCGUAAAGCGAGUGUAGGCGGUUGCCGUAGUCAGGUGUGAAAGCCUUGAGCUCAACUCAAGAAAUGCACUUGAUACUGGGUGACUAGAGGACCGGAGAGGAUAGUGGAAUUCCCAGUGUAGUGGUGAAAUACGUAGAGAUUGGGAAGAACACCAGUGGCGAAGGCGGCUAUCUGGACGGUUACUGACGCUAAGACUCGAAAGCGUGGGGAGCAAACAGGAUUAGAUACCCUGGGUAGUCCACGCCGUAAACGAUGGGUGCUAGACGUUGGCGAGCUUGCUCGUCAGUGUCGCAGCUAACGCGUUAAGCACCCCGCCUGGGGAGUACGGCCGCAAGGUUGAAACUUAAAUGAAUUGACGGGGUCAUAGCUG